GCUAUGCUGCUGCCAAGGGACCUCACAAGGAGGUAGUACAAGCCACUGCUAGUGGCUAUACAAAGGAGUGAAGCCUUCUAAGUACAGUACCUGGCACAAUGAAUUGUCAAGCAAAUGGCAAAUCUUCUCUGCAGAGGGGAACUGAGACCCAGUACCCACAAUCCACUCUGGAGUCUCCUAAUAAUCCUGAAGAGGGAAGCCCAGAGGAAAUCAUCUGGUCUAACCAUAAAAUCAUCAAUACUGAGAAAUUAAAAGGGGAACAUGUCAGGCCUCACUCUUUCUGUACUGGCUUUCAAGAGUAUUGUCCUUGGUCACCAGGUAUGCCCCUGGGCUCCUGCCGCAGCUGAUCGGGUGCUAGGUGCUGAGGAUACACGUCUGGGAGAAAGCAAUUGGAAGAAAUGCAAAGCUCUUCAAAGGAGGCCUAUAAAGUCAUCUUUGUUUUGUUCAUUCUUCUCAUGUUUCUGCAUUCUGGGCAUUCUCCUAAAUUGGGGAGAAACCAAAAUGCCCAGAAGUCAAAUUCUGCAACUGUCAUCAUGCAAAAUGUCAAAUGAGAGAACCAAAGUAUGCUGGAUUCUAUAUUGUUAGGAAGGGAUGGUUAAUUUGAUUGACUCUUGGGAGCUAUUUUUCUAGCAUUAAGUAAUUCUAGGGAACCCUUCUGUGAUCAUCUCUGAGUAAAUAAAGAAGUGAAAUUGCAAUUCAAA